CAGGAGGAUAGCCCGGGGAAACUCGGAUUAAUACUCCAUAUGAUUUUGAUUGGCAUCAAUUAAGAUUGAAAGAUUUAUUGGAUAAGGAUAGGCAUGCGUCAGAUUAGUUAGUUGGUAGUGUAACGGACUGCCAAGGCGAUGAUCUGUAGGGGGCCUGAGAGGGUGAACCCCCACACUGGUACUGAGACACGGACCAGACUCCUACGGGAGGCAGCAGUGAGGAAUAUUGGACAAUGGAGGGAACUCUGAUCCAGCCAUCCCGCGUGCAGGAAGACGGCCCUAUGGGUUGUAAACUGCUUUUGUAUGGGGAUAAAUCUACUUACGUGUAGGUAGUUGAAGGUACCAUACGAAUAAGCAUCGGCUAACUCCGUGCCAGCAGCCGCGGUAAUACGGAGGAUGCAAGCGUUAUCCGGAUUCAUUGGGUUUAAAGGGUCCGUAGGCGGGCUGAUAAGUCAGUGGUGAAAUUUUGUCGCUCAACGAUAAAACUGCCAUUGAUACUGUUAGUCUUGAGUGAUAUUGAAGUAGCUGGAAUGUGUAGUGUAGCGGUGAAAUGCAUAGAUAUUACACAGAACACCGAUUGCGAAGGCAGGUUACUAAGUAUUAACUGACGCUGAAGGACGAAAGCGUGGGGAGCGAACAGGAUUAGAUACCCUGGUAGU
rnacentral:rRNA from 1 species